CUCUGUAUUCGAAAGUGAUCGUUGGCUGCCCGUGUCCCGGUCAUUGAUAGUGCAGGGAGAGGAACUGACGAAAGCCUUUCCCCGUGUUUGCGGGGAGUCUCCUGUCCCUUCCAGACUCUGGUGCUUUCAUACA